GACGAACGCUGGCGGCGUGCCUAAUACAUGCAAGUCGAGCGAGCGGAACUAACAGAUUUACUUCGGUAAUGACGUUAGGAAAGCGAGCGGCGGAUGGGUGAGUAACACGUGGGGAACCUGCCCCAUAGUCUGGGAUACCACUUGGAAACAGGUGCUAAUACCGGAUAAGAAAGCAGAUCGCAUGAUCAGCUUUUAAAAGGCGGCGUAAGCUGUCGCUAUGGGAUGGCCCCGCGGUGCAUUAGCUAGUUGGUAAGGUAAAGGCUUACCAAGGCGAUGAUGCAUAGCCGAGUUGAGAGACUGAUCGGCCACAUUGGGACUGAGACACGGCCCAAACUCCUACGGGAGGCAGCAGUAGGGAAUCUUCCACAAUGGACGCAAGUCUGAUGGAGCAACGCCGCGUGAGUGAAGAAGGUUUUCGGAUCGUAAAGCUCUGUUGUUGGUGAAGAAGGAUAGAGGUAGUAACUGGCCUUUAUUUGACGGUAAUCAACCAGAAAGUCACGGCUAACUACGUGCCAGCAGCCGCGGUAAUACGUAGGUGGCAAGCGUUGUCCGGAUUUAUUGGGCGUAAAGCGAGCGCAGGCGGAAGAAUAAGUCUGAUGUGAAAGCCCUCGGCUUAACCGAGGAACUGCAUCGGAAACUGUUUUUCUUGAGUGCAGAAGAGGAGAGUGGAACUCCAUGUGUAGCGGUGGAAUGCGUAGAUAUAUGGAAGAACACCAGUGGCGAAGGCGGCUCUCUGGUCUGCAACUGACGCUGAGGCUCGAAAGCAUGGGUAGCGAACAGGAUUAGAUACCCUGGUAGUCCAUGCCGUAAACGAUGAGUGCUAAGUGUUGGGAGGUUUCCGCCUCUCAGUGCUGCAGCUAACGCAUUAAGCACUCCGCCUGGGGAGUACGACCGCAAGGUUGAAACUCAAAGGAAUUGACGGGGGCCCGCACAAGCGGUGGAGCAUGUGGUUUAAUUCGAAGCAACGCGAAGAACCUUACCAGGCCUUGACAUCUAGUGCCAUUUGUAGAGAUACAAAGUUCCCUUCGGGGACGCUAAGACAGGUGGUGCAUGGCUGUCGUCAGCUCGUGUCGUGAGAUGUUGGGUUAAGUCCCGCAACGAGCGCAACCCUUGUUAUUAGUUGCCAGCAUUAAGUUGGGCACUCUAAUGAGACUGCCGGUGACAAACCGGAGGAAGGUGGGGAUGACGUCAAGUCAUCAUGCCCCUUAUGACCUGGGCUACAUACGUGCUACAAUGGGCAGUACAACGAGAAGCGAGCCUGCGAAGGCAAGCGAAUCUCUGAAAGCUGUUCUCAGUUCGGACUGCAGUCUGCAACUCGACUGCACAAAGCUGGAAUCGCUAGUAAUCGCGGAUCAGCACGCCGCGGUGAAUACGUUCCCGGGCCU
rnacentral:rRNA from 1 species